rnacentral:tRNA from 1 species
CGAAAUAUAGCUUAGUUAAAGCACCUUGCUUACACCAAGAAGACGCCCCAUGCACCGGGCUAUUUCGAG